CCUACGGUGUGCAGCAGUGAGGCAUAUUGGUCAAUGGACGGAAGUCUGAACCAGCCAUGCCGCGUGCAGGAAGACGGCUCUAUGAGUUGUAAACUGCUUUUGUACAAGGGUAAACCUGAAUACGUGUAUUCAGCUGAAAGUACUGUACGAAUAAGGAUCGGCUAACUCCGUGCCAGCACCCGCGGUAAUACGGAGGAUCCAAGCGUUCUCCGGAUUUAUUGGGUUUAAAGGGUGCGUAGGCGGAUUGAUAAGUUAGAGGUGAAAUGUCAAAGCUUAACUCUGGAACUGCCUCUCAUACUGUUGAUCUAGAGAGUAGAAGCGGUAGGCGGAAUGUAGGGUGUAGCGGUGAAAUGCUUAGAGAUCAUACAGAACACCGAUUGCGAAGGCAGCUUACCAAUCUGUAUCUGACGUUGAGGCACGAAAGCGUGGGGAGCAAACAGGAUUAGAUACCCGUGUAGUC
rnacentral:rRNA from 1 species